GAUGAAGAACGUAGCGAAAUGCGAUAAGUAAUGUGAAUUGCAGAAUUCAGUGAAUCAUCGAAUCUUUGAACGCACAUUGCGCCCGUCAGUAUUCUGGCGGGCAUGCCUGUUCGAGCGUCAUUUCACCACUCAAGCCUCGCUUGGUAUUGGGCAACGCGGUCCGCCGCGUGCCUCAAAUCGACCGGCUGGGUCUUCUGUCCCCUAAGCGUUGUGGAAACUAUUCGCUAAAGGGUGUUCGGGAGGCUACGCCGUAAAACAACCCCAUUUCUAAGGUUGACCUCGGAUCAGGUAGGGAUACCCGCUGAACUUAAGCAUAUCAAUAAGCGGAGGA
rnacentral:misc_RNA from 1 species